rnacentral:rRNA from 1 species
AGUCGUACGAGAAAGCCUGGGCAACCGGGUAAGUAAAGUGGCGCACGGGUGAGUAACACGUGGGUAACCUACCCUUGAGUUGGGGAUAACUCCGCGAAAGCGGGGCUAAUACCGAAUAACAGGCCGAGAUCUUUGGAUUUUGGUGUCAAAGGUGGCCUCUGCUUGCAAACUAUCGCUUAAGGAUGGGCCCGCGUACCAUUAGCUAGUUGGCAGGGUAAUGGCCUACUAAGGCAACGAUGGUUAGCUGGUCUGAGAGGAUGGCCAGCCACACUGGAACUGAGAUACGGUCCAGACUCCUACGGGAGGCAGCAGUGGGGAAUCUUGCGCAAUGGGGGAAACCCUGACGCAGCAACGCCGCGUGGGUGAUGAAGGCCUUCGGGUCGUAAAGCCCCGUCAGGUGGGAAGAAACAUGUUGAUGCCAAUACCAUCAACACUUGACGGUACCACCGGAGGAAGCACCGGCUAACUCCGUGCCAGCAGCCGCGGUAAUACGGAGGGUGCAAGCGUUGUUCGGAAUUAUUGGGCGUAAAGCGCGUGUAGGCGGUUGUGUAAGUCCGAUGUGAAAUCCCCCGGCUUAACUGGGGAAGUGCAUUUGAAACUGCACGACUGGAGUACGGGAGAGGAGAGU